rnacentral:rRNA from 1 species
AUUGAACGCUGGCGGCAUGCCUAACACAUGCAAGUCGAACGGCAGCACAGUGUGUAGCAAUACACAUGGGUGGCGAGUGGCGGACGGGUGAGUAAUGCGUAGGAAUCUGCCCUUAAGUGGGGGAUAGCCCGGAGAAAUCCGGAUUAAUACCGCAUGUGCUCUACGGAGCAAAGCGGGCCUCUGUUUCAAGCUCGCGCUUGCGGAUGAGCCUACGUCGGAUUAGCUAGUCGGUGGGGUAAAAGCCUACCAAGGCGACGAUCCGUAGCUGGUCUGAGAGGAUGACCAGCCACACUGGGACUGAGACACGGCCCAGACUCCUACGGGAGGCAGCAGUGGGGAAUAUUGGACAAUGGGCGAAAGCCUGAUCCAGCAAUGCCGCGUGUGUGAAGAAGGCCUGCGGGUUGUAAAGCACUUUUGUCGGGAAAGAAAAUCACAGGGUUAAUACCCCUGUGCCUUGACGGUACCCGAAGAAUAAGCACCGGCUAACUCCGUGCCAGCCGCCGCAGUAACAC